CCUACGGGUGGCAGCAGUGAGGAAUAUUGGUCAAUGGACGAGAGUCUGAACCAGCCAAGUAGCGUGAAGGAUGACUGCCCUAUGGGUUGUAAACUUCUUUUAUAUGGGAAUAAAACGUUCCACGUGUGGGAUUUUGUAUGUACCAUAUGAAUAAGGAUCGGCUAACUCCGUGCCAGCAGCCGCGGUAAUACGGAGGAUCCGAGCGUUGUCCGGAUUUAUUGGGUUUAACGGGAGCGUAGGUGGAUUGUUAAGUCAGUUGUGAAAGUUUGCGGCUCAACCGUAAAAUUGCAGUGGAAACUGGCAGUCUUGAGUACAGUAGAGGUGGGCGGAAUUCGUGGUGUAGCGGUGAAAUGCUUAGAUAUCACGAAGAACUCCGAUUGCGAAGGCAGUUCACUGGACUGCAACUGACACUGAGGCUCGAAAGUGUGGGUAUCAAACAGGAUUAGAUACCCCGGUAGUC
rnacentral:rRNA from 1 species